rnacentral:rRNA from 1 species
UACGGGGGGAGCGAGCGUUGUUCGGAAUUACCGGGCGUAAAGGGCUCGCAGGCGGGAUAGAAGGUCAGAUGUGAAAACCUACGGCUCAACCGUGGGCCUGCAUCUGAAACCACUAUUCUUGAGUAUCGGAGAGGAAAGCGGAACUCUUGGUGUAGCGGUGAAAUGCGUAGAUAUCAAGAGGAACGCCGGUGGCGAAGGCGGCUUUCUGGCCGAAUACUGACGCUCAGGAGCGAAGGCCGGGGGAGCAAACAGG